GAUGAACGCUGGCGGCGUGCUUAACACAUGCAAGUCGAACGGAAAGGCCCAAGCUUGCUUGGGUACUCGAGUGGCGAACGGGUGAGUAACACGUGGGUGAUCUGCCCUGCACUUCGGGAUAAGCCUGGGAAACUGGGUCUAAUACCGGAUAGGACCACAUUUUGGAUGGUGUGGUGGAAAGUUUUUCGGUGUGGGAUGAGCUCGCGGCCUAUCAGCUUGUUGGUGGGGUAAUGGCCUACCAAGGCGUCGACGGGUAGCCGGCCUGAGAGGGUGUACGGCCACAUUGGGAAUGAGAGACGGCCCAGACUCCUACGGGAGGCAGCAGUGGGGAAUAUUGCACAAUGGGCGCAAGCCUGAUGCAGCGACGCCGCGUGGGGGAUGACGGCCUUCGGGUUGUAAACUCCUUUCGCUAGGGACGAAGCGUUAUGUGACGGUACCUGGAGAAGAAGCACCGGCUAACUACGUG
rnacentral:rRNA from 1 species